AGAGUUUGAUCCUGGCUCAGGAUGAACGCUAGCUACAGGCUUAACACAUGCAAGGUCGAGGGGCAGCAUGGUCUUAGCUUGCUAAGUUUGAUGGCGACCGGCGCACGGGUGAGUAACACGUAUCCAACCUGCCGAUGACUCGGGGAUAGCCUUUCGAAAGAAAGAUUAAUACCCGAUGGCAUAGUUCUUCCGCAUGGUAGAACUAUUAAAGAAUUUCGGUCAUCGAUGGGGAUGCGUUCCAUUAGGUUGUUGGCGGGGUAACGGCCCACCAAGCCUUCGAUGGAUAGGGGUUCUGAGAGGAAGGUCCCCCACAUUGGAACUGAGACACGGUCCAAACUCCUACGGGAGGCAGCA
rnacentral:rRNA from 1 species